CCUACGGGGGGCAGCAGUGAGGAAUAUUGGUCAAUGGGCGAGAGCCUGAACCAGCCAAGUCGCGUGAGGGAGUACUGCCCUAUGGGUUGUAAACCUCUUUUGUCGGGGAGCAAAAGCCGGACGUGUCCGGCUGUGAGAGUACCCGAAGAAAAAGCAUCUGCUAACUCCGUGCCAGCAGCCGCGGUAAUACGGAGGAUGCGAGCGUUAUCCGGAUUUAUUGGGGUAAAAGGGUGCGCAGGCGGAUUUUUAAGUCAGCGGUCAAAUCGUGGGGCUCAACCCCAUCCAGCCGUUGAAACUGGGGAUCUAGAGUGUGCGAGAGGUAUGCGGAAUGCGUGGUGUAGCGGUGAAAUGCAUAGAUAUCACGCAGAACCCCGAUUGCGAAGGCAGCAUACCGGUGCACAACUGACGCUCAGGCACGAAAGCGUGGGUAUCGAACAGGAUUAGAUACCCGAGUAGUC
rnacentral:rRNA from 1 species